rnacentral:rRNA from 1 species
UUGAAAGGGAAACGAUUGAAGUCAGUCAUGCCGGUGGGAAUCAACUUAGGGGAAACUCUGGGUGCACUUCUUCGCUUGGCAGGUUAACGUCGAUUUUGAAUGUCAUAAAAUAAUUGGGGGAAGGUAGCUCCUUCGGGAGUGUUAUAGCCCUUGAUAGAUGUGAUGUUUGGGGUCGAGGAUUGCAACGGAUACCCUCUGGGGCUAGCCGCCUGAUCUCUAAUUGGUGUUGGGUUACGGAUAGCAUGCUGACCGUGAUCUAAUUACUGGUUAAAAGGUUAGAGUACGCAUAAAUUCGUUAAGGAUGUUGACGUA